rnacentral:rRNA from 1 species
GAUGAACGCUAGCGGCAGGCUUAAUACAUGCAAGUCGAGGGGCAGCAUGAAUGUAGCAAUACAUUUGAUGGCGACCGGCAAACGGGUGCGGAACACGUACACAACCUUCCUAUAAGUGGGGAAUAGCCCAGAGAAAUUUGGAUUAAUACCCCCGUAACAUAAUGAUGUGGCAUCACAUUAUUAUUAUAGCUACGGCGCUUAUUGAUGGGUGUGCGGCUGAUUAGAUAGUUGGCGGGGUAACGGCCCACCAAGUCUACGAUCAGUAGCUGAUGUGAGAGCAUGAUCAGCCACACGGGCACUGAGACACGGGCCCGACUCCUACGGGAGGCAGCAGUAAGGAAUAUUGGUCAAUGACGCAAGUCUGAACCAGCCAUGCCGCGUGAAGGAUUAAGGUCCUCUGGA